rnacentral:rRNA from 1 species
AUGACAGGGGUAAAGCAGAAACCACACCCUAGGAGAAAAUCAAGAAAGGUUCAACAGCCAAAGAAUUCACCCAAGGAAAAGCUAAUGAAAGAGCCCGCUGGUCAAGACACUGAUGAACGGAGUGAUCUUCAAGUGGGAAGUGUUGUAGAUCCUGUUCUACCCAGUGCUAAAUUUGAACCUGAACCUCCUACUGUUCCAUUGUUAACUGGAGACAGUGCAUGGCUGUAUGCGGCUCGUGGUCUUGACCUUUCUUCUGGCACUCUGCCUGAGAAUUUGUGCACCGGAGGCGUUGUAACUUCAUAUAUUAUUGAGCAAGUUCCCAAAGAACAAUCACCAGACACUUUAUGUCAAGGGUCUUUUAAGUUUCAACAUGAUAAUGGUGGAACUGAUUCUAUUAGGUGCUCAUUCAAAUUUGCGAAGUCUGUAAUUCACGCAAUGGAAUUAUACUCUGCAGCAAUUCGUGUCUCAAGUCCAGGUCUUGGAAAGAUAUAUUUCACUACAUAUUGUGUUCCUUUGGCUUGCUAUAUCGUGGUGUAUGAACCGUUGUUACAUUAUGAUGAUCUUCAUCAUAACAAAAAAGCAGAAGAUUCAAUCUGUAAUUCCAAUAAAAUUAUAAAAAAGAGGUGGCUAGCUAACAUAAGGAAUAUUUAUGAGGGCCUCGAUUUACUUCACUCAUUGCGCAUAAGUCAUCCUUUGACAAAUAAGGUGUUUAGUUACAUGUGGUGCAAGACAGAGGACGGAUCUAUUGGAUCUGUAAAGUUAAUAGGUGCAAAUGGAAGCAUGCAAACAAUGACCAAACACAAUAAUACAGUGAGUAGAGAGCGAGAUGAACGUGCGGAUGUUUUACAUUUCCUUGAGAAACUUCGUAUUGCGGAGUGCCCUGAUUAUCCGUCAUUCAGAUGGCUUGUUGAAAACAGUGUUUCUGCUAAAGCGAUUCUGGGGCAUCCACUGCUUACUAAAUCAGACGAGGCCAUAGUUGAUGUAUAUUACUGGUUACACGAGUCCGUGUUAAGCCUAGAUGGAAAUCAACGCAGUAUGUUGCAGAAUGAUCUGAAUGCCAAAUUCCCUACUUUAGCAAAUACUUGGAGAAACACAGUGAAGUCAAGUACUGCUUUUGUGGGAGUGAAAGUUGCUAAGUACUAUGAUGAUCUCUUGGAUCUACUGCGCUUUGUCAGGAAUUAUAUUGAACACAAGCGUGACGAAGCGUUAUACAUUUAUUCACGUGUGAACCAUAAGAACAUUGUCGUCGAAUUAUCAAAGCUGGUGGGGUUAUGUAAUGAGGGCUUCAAUGGCUGGUGGCUCAGCUCAUUCAAGCGUUUAGUGUUCAGUUUAAUUGGGGGUUUGCUUGGAAGUUUAAAGAACAUUCAGUUGGCAGCUUCUUGGUUCAAACUGUCCCUAAUUUGGUCUACAUGGAACUAA